ensembl:lncRNA
AACUAUAUAAGUGGUAAUCUACACUCAUCAGAAGCUAUUUCUGUCUAAUACAAUAACCUAAACACCAAAACUAAACUUUAGGGUUAUAAUCUUUAACAUCAGUGACGUACUGAAGGUCCUAAUGCAUUUAGUUUGGUUCAGUGAUUUUAGUGUUUCUGCAAUAUUUAUUUCUUAUAGACAAACUUAGCAUUAUACAUUCUAUACAGCCUGGAGGCAUUACAUAACAAAUGCACCAGAAAAAGUGCUAUUCAUCGGCAUGAACAUGGAGUCCGAUUGAACAUUGAUAACAAAUUUGAUUUUGCUUUGAAAGUUCAGCAUUGUGCAAGUUAUGUUCCAUGGACCAAAUGUAACACUGUAAAUUUGUGUGAGUGUGUCAGAGACAAGACCAAAACAUCUCAACAAAAUAAUUCAGAUAGAACAAAGACCGGCUACCUGAGAUUUCACUACUUUCCACUGAAGGUUUCAUCACUUUCAACAGUUAUCGAAGUGGUUCAGAUCACAAAGACAGUAGUCUUUCUCUGCAUGCUGAUUGGAUGGUCACAGGCUUUUCCACAAUGUGAAUGAAGCAAUGAAAGAUGCUGACAUGGUAAAGAAAGAAAGACAAGAUGUUAUACUGGAUGUAACAGAUUUAACUCCACCAGUGUGUCAUGUGGUAAAUGAGAGUUCAGAUUGUCUUCUGUCAUGUGGAAAUACAAUCUUGGAAGUGACGUAUAGUAUGUCAGAUGGCAACGGUUCAGGAAUUGAUCACACCCAAAUUAAGUCUUUUGGUGAGGGUUUUAGCAAAAUAACUCAAUAUGAUGGUCUAGAUGAAAAUGGCUAUAAUGCAACCCUUUUGCAUUAUUCUGGCAUCUGCUGCCUUGAAGAUUUGGAAGUUGCUGCAGUGGACGAGGCAGGAAACAAGGGGAAGUGUCCUGUAGUUGUCAAACGUGUUACGACCACAGCCAAUCAUUUCAAUACAAUACAUUUUUAGUACAGUUAAAGCACUCGAUGUUAAUGAGUUGGUGUUUUGAAUGGCACAUGAAAAAAGAUUGCAAGUGCAUGGUAACAAAAUUCAUUUCUACAGAAAUCUUUUAUUGACUUAAAUAUCCUUGUGAUAAGGAUGUGGCAUGUAAAGUUGAGGCAAUUUUUUCAUAUAAUUAAGAAAAACCACAUAAAAAUAUUUUAAAGCUUUAUUGGUUUAUUCAUUCCUUUUAAAUUCAACUUCUAUGUUCUAACAUGUUUAAAAAUACUCUUAACAGGAAUGCAAGUGACAGGGUGACAAACAAUAAACCUUUAAUGUUUCUCA